rnacentral:rRNA from 1 species
GACGAACGCUGGCGGCGUGCUUAACACAUGCAAGUCGAACGGAAAGGCCCUGCUUUUGUGGGGUGCUCGAGUGGCGAACGGGUGAGUAACACGUGAGUAACCUGCCCUUGACUUUGGGAUAACUUCAGGAAACUGGGGCUAAUACCGGAUAGGAGCUCCUGCUGCAUGGUGGUGGUUGGAAAGUUUCGGCGGUUGGGGAUGGACUCGCGGCUUAUCAGCUUGUUGGUGGGGUAGUGGCUUACCAAGGCUUUGACGGGUAGCCGGCCUGAGAGGGUGACCGGCCACAUUGGGACUGAGAUACGGCCCAGACUCCUACGGGAGUCAGCAGUGGGGAAUAUUGCACAAUGGGCGGAAGCCUGAUGCAGCAACGCCGCGUGCGGGAUGACGGCCUUCGGGUUGUAAACCGCUUUCGCCUGUGACGAAGCGUGAGUGACGGUAAUGGGUAAAGAAGCACCGGCUAACUACGUG